UGAGGAAUAUUGGUCAAUGGGCGGGAGCCUGAACCAGCCAAGUAGCGUGAAGGAUGAAGGUUCUAUGGAUUGUAAACUUCUUUUACAUGGGAAUAAAGUCGCCUACGUGUAGGCGUUUGUAUGUACCAUAUGAAUAAGGACCGGCUAACUCCGUGCCAGCAGCCGCGGUAAUACGGAGGGUCCGAGCGUUAUCCGGAUUUAUUGGGUGUAAAGGGAGCGUAGGCGGGAAGGUAAGUUGGGUGUGAAAACUAUUGGCUCAACCAAUAGACUGCACUCAAAACUACUUUUCUUGAGUGAAGUAGAGGCAGGCGGAAUUCCUAGUGUAGCGGUGAAAUGCGUAGAUAUUAGGAGGAACACCAGCGGCGAAGGCGGCUUGCUGGACGAUAACUGACGCUGAGGCUCGAAAGCGUGGGGAGCAAACA
rnacentral:rRNA from 1 species